rnacentral:misc_RNA from 1 species
GUGAAUCAUCGAAUCUUUGAACGCAAAUUGCACUUUCUGGUAUGCCGGAGAGUAUGCCAGUUUGAGGGUCAGUUAAAUUAAAAUCGGUGUUGUUGCUAGGCGUAGUGGUGUGUGAUGCGGCGGAAUUGAGUCGUUCUUUACCUUUGGUGUAAGUGACUUAAAAUUAUGUUCGAUUUUUGAACGUAUUUAAAUUAUUACUUACGUUCGUAAGAGCACAGAUUAGGUUCGGUCAUGCACAUGAUUUCGCGUCUAUAAUUUUUCAUUAUUUUACCUCAAAUCAGGUAGGAAUACCCGCUGAA